CUAAUCAGUCCGCUAAUCCCGUAAUCCAGUCUGAUUCGAAGGCGCUCCUGUUUGCAUCCAUCAGCCGCCACGCUUAUCUGUUGCACGGCGGAGGAAGACGAGAGCGAGUCGGUAAGCGAGAGAGAGGAGAAUAAGAUGUCCUCUGGCCCUGUGCUGCCUCUCACAGGCUGGUGUUGGUACUACAACUAAAAUUGAGGAGAUAACUCACAAUUGGUUGAGCGGAUCAUUGUGAUCGUCAUUGCUGUUUUGAUCAUCUCCAGUACACCACACACUGCAAGACUGGAUAAGGACGCGGCUUCAUUUGGCAGGCGCCUUCGCCAAGGAGAUGGGUAGACAACGGGGGGGCUUCUUCCCUCCGCCCCAAUUGAUCAUCAUCUGGAGCCAAACGCUCCCGCGUGAAGUCACAGACGAGGCUGCUAUGCAAAUGUGCACUGACCCAUCCAUUGAUGGCCUGGCAGCGGUCCACCCAAAGGGAGCGGAGGCUGCCAAAGAAGCUUUCAGGUCAAAUCAACAAUUAUCUAAUGUAAAAGUACAACUGCAUGACAGCUUUUUGACUGCUAUAAACCUUUGUUGAGCCAGAUAGCAUAUUGGGUGGGUGGUCAAAUGGGCCCAGCAUCUCAGUAUGAGACAUUAUAACCACAAUCUGACACAAGAAAUUCAGUAGAACCUUCAAAGUUAACCUCAAGUUGCUUGUAUAUGGAUGGCUGUUAGCACAUCCAUCUUUUCCCUCGUCUAUUAAAAGCUCUUUUCAAAGUCCACUCAAUAAGUAUAGUUUCUCAUAAUUCUCAUCAUACCUCAUGCAAAUAUUAAUUAGUCAUUGAAUUAUUGAUUGAAUCUUCUGUAAUCAUUUUAGUAGAAGAUGAUUCGGCUUCGUGUUUACUACUAAGCUGACAGUAUUUGGCACCACCGUUCUGCUGUGUUCCAUUAUUUAAAACUAAUAAUUCACCAGCUCCCCUGCAUAUCAUCAAGCAACGCAGUGCGUGCUCACCACUAAAAACCAACGACGGCCUCAGCAGUAAUCAAUAGACUUCAAUAAUCCAACGCGUACUCAUGAAUCAAAAGCAAAGUGGCUUAGCUUGGCGAUUAACUAAAGAGGAAAGUUAAGGUUUCCACAUUAAAAUGCAGCUUUGUAUCAUCGCCGAUGCUCACGAGAAGAAAUCCACUUCUUGACAUUCAUAGAGUUCAACCUCUCUGCGACUCAUAUCAUUCUGUGCAAACAGAGUGUGAGGGUAAUAUAAAGGAUGAGCAAGAAUGUGCCUUUGUCUUCCUCUUUCAAAUAGCAGGGGAGGAAUAUUAAUGCAGCUCUUCAGACCUCAAAAGUGUCGUUUGCGCCGUGUUGUUGCGGGGAUACACAUCACGCUAAUUGGCCUGUAAUUAAUCUGCAAUUUAAUAAAUCAACAUUUAAUUCAAACAAUAGUUCUCAAAAACAGGUUGGGGUGUUUUUCUUUUUUUUUUUUGAAGGGUGAUAAGAGAAUAAAAAGCCAACACACACACACAUACACACGUCAACGGGCAAAAAAACAUAAGUCAAGCAGACUUUUGUCAAGCAUAUGGGUGAUUAGCCCACGCUGAUUAAAAAGCAUCCUCGGCCCUUCAAAGGGCCCUUGACGCCUUUGCAAAUGUUUGCGUUAAAUCUGUCUGAGCCGCCCCCGAUGGGGUAGCAAGGUGUUAAAAAGCACACAAUAAAGAAAGGGGGAGAAACAGACGGCACAGGGAUGGUUGUGAUAGUGAGGUGAGAGGUGCUAAGAUAGGGUGAAGAUGCAGGUGAUGGGUACUAUGCAAGCUGAUUGUGAAAAUCAAAUUUACUUCCCUCAGAUAAUGUGCAAAAAGGACACAUUUCUUGCUCGUUUUUUUAAAAACGACGCUGAUCUGAUGUGGAUGUAUUGACUAUAAACUGCUUUUAUUGUUAUUUCGAUGUCAUUUCAACGGAAAACAGCUGUUGAAUGGUAGAAUGAAAGGUACUAAAUACAACAAUCAAUGGUGGAUGGAAGUCAGCAUGCUUCAAGUAAAUCAUUUUUACUAUGAUAAGAUGUGAAUUCACUGCAGCAAAUUAGAUUUUUUUUUUCAUCCAUAACAAAAUCCACCAAUGUUAUAAUCAUAAAAAGAACAUUUAGAAGCUUUUUUUGGGGGGCUAACAAUAUUACACCAUGAAUGAUGUGUAUUGCUAACA